GUUAAUUUGAGCAGUUAAAUGUGCAAGCAAUGUGUUGAUACCCUAUAUAAUGUAAAAGUUGCAAAAGCAAUUGUCUGCCUACAUCUUAUUUUAGCAAAAUAUCUUCUUUUUUUGGUAUCUUCUAAUUUGUUAUUCAACUUGGAAUAAAUUGUGGCAUUCUUUAUGUUUAUUUACAGAUUAAGAUGGAGCCUCUUGCUAUAUCAUUGGACGAUGAUCUUAACAAUGCGGCAAAACAAAUCCAGGUUUGCACAAUAUAAUGCUGCAACCAGAAGGUUUUGAAAUCCGGGCAAGGAGCUUGAACAUUCUUA